CUCCACCGAGAAUGUUGAGUGGCGAACGGGUGAGUAACACGUAGGUAACCUACCCAAAAGAGGGGGAUAACAUCUGGAAACAGGUGCUAAUACCGCAUAACAACAUUUAUCGCAUGAUAGAUGUUUGAAAGAUGGUUUCGGCUAUCACUUUUGGAUGGACCUGCGGCGUAUUAGUUAGUUGGUGAGGUAACGGCUCACCAAGACGAUGAUACGUAGCCGAACUGAGAGGUUGAUCGGCCACACUGGGACUGAGACACGGCCCAGACUCCUACGGGAGGCAGCAGUAGGGAAUCUUCCACAAUGGACGAAAGUCUGAUGGAGCAACGCCGCGUGAGUGAAGAAGGUUUUCGGAUCGUAAAACUCUGUUGUUGGAGAAGAAUGUAUCUGAUAGUAACUGAUCAGGUAGUGACGGUAUCCAACCAGAAAGCCACGGCUAACUACGUGCCAG
rnacentral:rRNA from 1 species